rnacentral:lncRNA from 1 species
AAGCUCUUCUCUUAAUAUAGGUUCCCAAUAAAUCCAUAGGUAAGGUUCCCAAUAAAUCAUGCCUUCAUUCCUUUCUCAUUUACUACUUAUUCAGUGAAGCGCUCCCCAUGCUGAUUGAUUGACUUCUUUUUCUAGGAAGAUCUCAACUCUUUCUUGUCCACCCUAUUCACUUCAUAUAUCUUCUUUUUUACCAACCACAGAUUAUUAUCCAUAUCAAGGCAAGCAACGGACAAACAACGCGAAGACACCAAGUAUAAGAAAUCACAUAUCAAUUAAUUCUAUCUUUAGAAAUGCUAUCUUUAGAAAUGGAAUCUAUCCCAGAGCUCCCGUAAGCUGAAGAAGGCUUAUUUUGCACUCAAUGAAAUUGAAGCUUACUUGCGCACUGCUUCUAUUGUGGAUGACAACUAAGGUAAAGCACCAACCUAUCUCUACUAGGGAAAGCGGAAACAUUACCCUUUACCUCAGACAGGAGUACCGAUACUGACUUCAAGUAUUCAUUCAUAUCUCCCCACUUAAGAAGAACAGGUAGGCGGGAAAGACAGAUUGGGUUUUCUCUAAUAAGGGAUUGAAGUAAGUAUUGCCAGUCCCAACAAGACGUUCUGCGCGUAAAGUCACCUCGCAUCCCUUUACUCUAAACUGUAUUCAGUAAAUUAAGUGUUAGAAGUCAAGUAAUCAAAUUAGAUGAUAGGAACUACAACAAAUAUCAAUUCUUAACAACACUCUAAGACCGACACGUAAGCACUUAUGCUAACACACCCCGCUCCGCCAGUGGGCAAUAAGCUCUUGCUCCCUUACUUUUCUUCUUCCUUCUGAAUCGCUAAGUAACACAUCUUCUCAAAUUGGAUGAAAGAACAAUGCAUGAAUUUUCCAGACCAUCUCCUCGUGGGGCUAUCUUAACAUAACUUUCUUAAUUCAAUACAAAAUCCCAAUUAGUCGCAUAGUUUUUCUAGUAUAGAAGGAUUGAGUAACUAAACAGCGAAACACUACUUACUAGCUCUGCCACUCUAGAGAAAUAAUAGUUUCUAGAUAGAUACUUAUAGAAUACAGUAAUAGUUGAUAGAUAGAUAGAAUACAGUCAUUUUGGAUAGACAGAUACUUAUAGAAUACAGUAACAAAACAAUGCUUUGCCUCUUUUUCGAACUCCCCGGGUGCAACUCAUUCAUUUGACUGAACUGCUUGGCUUGCAACAUUUCAUCCUAGCGACCCUUGCUUCUUCUGCUAACUCACUACUUUAAUAACUUGCUUUCCGGCGUACCACAACAGGAUCUAUUAUUCGCCUUCUAACAUAAACCCACUUUUUCACUAACGCCCGAACUCAAAUAAGCUUCUGCUUUAUCUUCUUCCAGCUUCGUUAGCGCAAGUCCUGUUUGUUUUCUUACCCGAGAUCAUAUAGCACUCAAAAAUAUGACCUCCUAUUCUAUUGGUUAGCUAGUUUCACAACAGCCUUUACUGUCUCAAUGAGCUUCCCCCUUAUUGAUAGCUCUCCAGCAAUGGAAUAUAAUGAUACUCUCAUGCCACUUGCCUGAUGUCAAAAGAGUGUUGGAUUGAAAAAGGGUAAAUCCACUCGCAUCUUCACUAUUAACUCGCAUCUUAACAAUUUGAUAGGUCCUAAGGCAGUUUCGUUUUUCUUUGAUGCUUACGUUGGGCUGGGUGCAACCCCAUAAUCAAUGCUCAUAUAAAGUCAGGGCAAUCCGUUGAGGGUUUUCAAAGUUCCUCUGGUCGACCACUACUCUACUGGGUAAAGCCAAUAACCUACACAACACUUUAAACGUACUCGAACCUAGACUUCACUCAAAACACACUUCUUAUCCAACUCGAUCUUCAUCAGGCAAACCCUAACGGCUGAAACAGCAUUUCUCAGAAUUCCUUAUGCUUGAAAUGAAAGCGGAUUGGUCACUUUUCCACUGACUUCCGCUUACAGCCUUGACGGAUCCUACCUAGGCUAGGCUAGGCCUAACAUCGGAUGAAAGAGUUAACUUACUCAGAUUCUUCUUCUGGAAUGAGGGAUGAAUGAGUUCAUGAGCUUGACUAAAUGGAGUAAGGGCUGGCUUCCUUAGCUAAUGCGCAGGUUUAGACCAUAGCAUCAGCAGCUUUCCUUUAGUGUUUUUCUGGAUAAACCACAAUGGAUAGGCGGUCAAAAGAAGGGCCCUUACUAUUAAUUCGGAACGAGGCAAGUGCUCUUCUUGAAUGCACCGGCUGAUGAGUCGAGUCGUUGAAGCAGAAAGCUCAAUUCAAAGAUAGGCGCUAUAAGGAGUUAGACUUAGACCCUUUCUUUAUCUAUGAAAGACCAGUUUAGAGGGAAGCAAGCCUAUGACAGAGCGUACAAGCCGAAAGAUGAAACCAAGCCUACAAAAGCUAGCAGGCAUAAGCACUAAUUAGGUCCCUAAUAAGGCCCAGCAAUGCAUGUUGAUAUAGUCCACUGGAACGAACUCACAACUCAAUGGGGAAAUUGGCUUAUAGCACGACUCGAAGAAAAGAGGUGUAUUUAUAAGAACAACAAUUCUCGAGCGGCCCAGCAACGACAAGUGAAACUUCACACAGCCAGGAAGGGUUGAACAAAUCUCCGCGCUUCAUCGCGGAUGGGGGCAUUAAGGAGUAGUCACCGCUCGUCCGCGGGGCUCUUUUAUGGUAACUACUAUGGACGAGUGUACAAUGUCAAAGUGUGCAUUUGCAUUCCGCGGUUUCACCAACUCGCUCUUGUCCAGUAGGCCCAACGAACGAAUCGAAUUCCAAUGGAUUGAUCACAGGGACCUCUGCGAUCUAAAGCUUCGACCGAGAAAGGGAAGUUCUGAACGACCCGACGAUGCCACGCGCAACUACCUGAAGUGUGUAGUCAUUGAGCCCGGCCCUUAACGUCCUCCCCACUCAGAGUCAGACCUUUUGAUCAUGUCGUUGCUGUGCCGCAGGGCGCCCCUUUAGUUCCUUUACUCAUGAUCUCUCUCUUUAGUAGGUGAUGAUCUUACUCUGCAGAGAGGUGUGGCUUCUCCUGAAUGCCAAGAAAGACCAGUAUUGGCCCUUUAGCAAGCCCUUGCAGCCAUCUCACAUUAAGUCACCUAUGCUUCCGAGAGUAGCAUAAGAUACUUGUGAUGGAAUUUCGCCUUAAUGAAUGCGAGAGAUUCAUCCAAAAACCAAACCGGAUGACUAUAUGUUUCAGCAGAUCAUAAGCGAGCCUGCGCUAGCCUUGCAAUCAUUCAUCAACUUCAAGGCGAGUUCGAAAGCUUUACAAUUGACUUAAGGAGAUCUCUCUCUUUCUCUAGAUCUCUUUGGAGAGCCCUUCUUUUAGCUCUUUCUUCGGAGUAGACGGACUAGGAGUUACCGAUUCCGGACUCAACAACUAAACAAGUCCUGAGCAAUGUCCCUAUGCAAUGUUCCUGUCUUGAGGCUACUUUGCCUGGUUGUUUUACUUAGUCUUUCUUUCCUUGACAAGAGAACAGCCCUUAGGUUAGGGGCGGAAAGAUCACAUGUUUUUUCACACUGUUUUAUUAGGAUUCCUUCUGAGCCGGUAAACCUACAACUAUACGAACAGUCCUCUACAUUUCGGCCAAGGAUGGCAAAUCAAACAACUUGAUGUCCUUUCACUUACGACACUCAUUUUCAUGAAUGACACUGAGUAAAGAGCCUAAUCGACGACUAUAAGGUCAUUGGAAAAAGCGAUUCUUUAGGCACGAUACGAUUCUUCCUCAUAAUAAGACUCCACCAUGAAAGGCUGAGGAUAGUCUCCCUACUGGAAGGCUCCUAUAUGCAAAAAUAUAUGUGACUGCGACAGAACCGGCUGGAAGUCCUGUCUGCUGGGUCCAGCACUCUUCUACAAUUCAUCUACAGUCUAAGACCAGCAGCCGACCAACCUCUUUUUUGAGAAACGUAGCAUAGUCGCUUCCGGUGAAAGAGGUGCUCCUGUCUUUGGAAGAUACUUUCUUAGAGCCCAGCCCACAUAGUGAGUGGUUUCCCGGACCAUGAAAGUCUCUCUAAAGCUUGCAUAGUCGCUUCCGUCUUUGGAAAGCAGCACAGUUGCUCCCUUGGGAUAUUUGAUGAUGAAAGCAAAGUUCCCAGCUGCCGAUUGAUGUUUCACUCGUGUAUAAUCCAUCUGUUUGACUCAAUGAAUUGCUGGCUUCCUAUCAACUCGAAUAGAUUGAAUCUUGGCAGAGUUAGUGACCCACUUUAUAACCAUCUGCCUAUACGGGGCAAAGUAAUCACUUGAAAGGUUUCGGAAGAAAUCCCUACUUGGGAGCUAAGCUUGGAUCAGAGGUGGCUUUACUCUUAAGAAAUUCGAUUUCAUAUUUGUGCUGCCGCUCUAACUUCUAUUGAUAGACCCUUCGUGGAGAGAGCCAUUAUUGGGCAUAUAGAAAUCAGUACUGUUCUGUGCCCCGACUACGUCCUCUUUUUUGUACCAAAAGGCCGACACUAACAGAGCAGGGGCCCACUAUCAAAUCUAGGAGUUACCGGGGGGCUAGGAAAGGGGAAAGUCAGGAAUAACACAUGAGCGACGGGCGAAGAGCAGGGAGAUCGCCUUCGGCCCAUAGAGAAAAGUAUCAAACCAGAAAAAGAGAAAGCAGCUUGAGGUGAGUAUGGGAGGCAAAGCUGGAUCUCAUGAGUCAGUGCGACCAUGCCCGGGUCCCGAUUCCUGACACUGAGCUAACUUUCAUUGAAAUAGGGGCUGACGUCAGCGACACGGAGGAAAGCUAAUGCGAUUUGGAUAAUCAUGUUGCGAGGAACGGGAUGCGACUAUCUGUUUCCUUUGCCCAAAAGCCUUCUGCAACAACAUAAAUGGCACGUGAUAAGAUCUGCUGCAAGGAUACGCCAGGACAAAGUAGCGGCAGGGAUAAAGAUUCCAAAACUUCUUCUAUUGACAGAAGAUAUGGGAAAAAGCGGAUGAGAUGGGCAAGUCAAGUUUUCGUCCUGUUUCAUAAGAUAAGAUAAGGGGCCGAGCAACUGGUCUUUGCCCAGCUAUAAUUGCACAAUUUAUAAAGAAUGCUCUCAGCUGUAUUGUAUUCAAAGCCAUGAAGAAGAUCUUCUGGACCUUAACUCUGUACCAUUGGAUGCCAGAGUGUAGGAUUUUAUUGAGUAAGAGGAUCAAGGUGUUUUUGGUAACCGGAGCGAAAACUCUAAUUGAAGAUACUUACAUGGGGGUAAACGAAGCCCCGAGCCCACCUCUGACUCUAUAGGCGAUUCAACACUCUCCCUAAUGGAGGGAACAGUAUAAAAAUGAAAGAAGAACUUGGAAUGGUGCUUGCUAGGAAUGAAGCAAAGAUACUUAAUAAGAAAAUGUCUGAGGUAUUUGAUGGAUCCGUUGCUAAGCCAAAGACUCGAACAGUAUCAUUGGCUGCUAUGAUUGGAGCUGUGAUAUUAGCUAUGGCGUUAGGUUAAUCAGUAACAAUAAGGGAAUUGUGCUCUAAUUUAUGCAGUUAUUUAGGCUACAGCUAUUCAUAGUUUAUUGUCAACUUCGUAGAUAGAGGAAAGAAGGGAGAGUGGAGUUGCUUAGAAUGACACUUAAUAAACAGCAACUCAUUCAUUUGCUCAAAUCACCACCAUUACCAAACCCACUUCGUUAACCUUCUCCAUUUUUUCUACCUGGGAGUCGGAUACUUCCUUUGCAACUUACAUCCUCUUUUCCACGCUACACUUUCGAAGCUUUCCUCUCCGCGGAUCUAAGCGUAGAAUCUAAGAGAGAAUUUCACGGGGAUAUAAUACUAUUCUGCAUAUCGGUCUCCCAAAGCCUAUAUUGUUGGUUUGGAGUUGAACACAGCUGAUAGCAGGAUGAAGCAGCAAUGCAGCUUGCGAGAGGCCGCUUGCUCCUUUGUCCACUCUAUUUAGCAUGGUCCUACAUUGAAUGGAUUGGUGGGAACAAUCCCCUGAUCAUCAUCACCAUGAUUCUAUUGUUACCACUUAUAAAAGAAAGAUGAUAACUUCGCUGUUGGAAGUCUGUUAUAAUUGGAGCUGGGAGGGGGCCCCUCGGAGAAAGAGAUCCAUCUUUGAGCUUACUCGGUGGUCUAGCUCUGCUAAAGUAGUGAUAGGUAAGGUCCCUCGGAGCGAAGUGGGUCGGCUCUUUACCUAUAAUAUAGAGCUGGGGAAUCUUUCUAAAGAGGGGAGGGGAUUCUUGAAGAGUGGAUUCGUGAACAACUGACUUUCUUCCACUUAUUAAUCCCUCUGAGCUUGCAAUUGAUCCUUCCAUUUCUGCUCUCGCUUAACUGAUUGAAUACGAGGCCGCUAAGGAAGAGCUUUUUAUGGUUGUCCUACUCGGGGAUAUAAAUUGGAUUGAUUAAGGCAUUCUUGUUGAAGCAUAAAUGUCCACCCGUAAAGACCAGUGACUGCUACUCACGAGAUGGCAAAUGGUUGAAAGUCCAAAAGUCAAGCGGAAAAUCCAGUAUGAAAGGAACUCAGACAAAAGGCAGCCACUCAGAGGUGAAGCAAAGCACGCCCUUCAGAUUCAUGUGCACAAUUGCUUUCCGCUAUGUAACAAAGCUUCCGACAACUGGGCCUAACAACAAGGGACUAAGCGCGAGUUCUGCUGUACGAUUCUAUUACUAUGGAUGCCUCCUCCUCUUCGCCAAUCGGUCAAAGCUCAAUCCCAACUCUAUCACUAAGAAAACACGUAUUCAUUCGUGAAAGAAACCCCUCCCUCAGUUGAAGACAGAAAAGAAAAUCAAGCAUUCGCCUAUUUACAGACAAGGCAAGCAGAGCGAAUAAAGAAAGAUUUACAUGUCAGCAAUCAGGCACAACAUUAAUUCUGUCUCUUUCUUUCUCUUUGCACGGAAAUAGCCUCUUGACUGUUGAGGUGGUUAAUCAAAUGAGAAUAGUAGAAGAAUGAGAAUAGUAGAAGAAUCGGACAUGGAAUGCGCUCUUAUCGGCGUAAAGAAAGAAGGAGUCUUGGUUAAGCCAGAACUUUGCCAGCUUUAAGUGCAGUUCCUUGCCUUCCCCAUUCUUUCGAAGUUGCUAGUACUCUCUCUCUCCUUUGCUCCAAGGGCGGGAUAAUAUAAGCCAUAAUAUAAGCCGGGAUACUUUGCUCCAAGGACGGUCUAAUAAGAAAGACGAAUAAGAUAUUCAGAUGUUUCUUAUCAAGUCAGAAAUAGGGUUGAAGGGUUGUGUUGGGCAUAGAGAAAAUGGUCAGAGGAGAGAGAGCUCGGUUCAACAAGUGGAGGUCGAGGCCGAAAGGAAGCAUAUUCCUAUACGCCGCUAAACUCACCUUGCUUCGCUCGUGUCUCCUUAGCACUCACUGUUAAUCGAGUCUUCCAUGCCCAACGACCUCGUGGAGUUCACUCCUUCCCUCCUCAUCGAUGACGCUGCCUUCCCUCUCUAUCCCUAUAUUCCAGUACAACGGCGGAAUCGUGUAUAGGGAACUCGACUAGCUACCUACCUAACCUAAUUUGAACCGGGAUCAAUGAUUGAUCUUAGUGAAACAUCUGACCCUCCACGACUUGGAGCCAGAUCCUCCUAAGAACUUAACAGAGCGUACCACACUGAGAUAGGAAACCGUCUAAGACCGGAAGAGCUAAGAUCGAGCAAGAAUGAAAGCUUGUUUCUUCCGGCGGCGCAGAUCGAGAAGCAUGUAUCUGAUCUCCCCACGAAACUGGCCGCCUUGAACCAUUCUCCUAACGUCCGCGACGGAGCUGAUCUACGCCUCUGCCUCUGCUUACCUUGCUUGCUACUAUCUUCUGAGAAGACAAUAAGACAAACAGCACAGACUUCCCCCCUUCACCAACAAUUGUAGUAAGUAAGUAGUCCCGUAUGACAUUCUUAAAACAUAUUAAUAUCUGGGCACUUUAGGAGGUCAAUCUUCCGUGUUUGAAGCUACUGCUAAAGUACGGACCCUCAUCUUUCUUAAAAGGAUAGGCAAUUGAGCGAGAAUAGGGCAAUAGCGAUAGACACAGGAACGGAAAUAGACUCAUUAUUUCCAUAGAGAAGAAUUCUAGCACAAAACCACCUUUUCUGUAACAGCGUAUUCUGUGAUUAACUGUCACAACCCAUUAAAAGAGCUUCUUCUUAUUCCAUGCUAGCUAUGACCUAGCCCCCAAUAGAAGAAAGGCUUAGAAUCAAUGCUUUGACCGGUAAUGCCCCUUCUCUCUCAUAGCCCUGCCCUGCCCUCGUGGGAAUCUCAGAUGUUAGAAAAUCCUCCAAGGCUUCUUCCCCAAGAGCUCUGCUAACACUGGCUAAUGACCUCGCUCGAGCUGAAACAAUGGAAUUCGCCGAGGGGGUUCUUUCACUUAUGAAAAGGUGGUUGAGAUAGAUGGAGCCCUGAACGGAAGUUCCUUCGCGACCUUUCCCUCUACCCUUGGAACAAAUUAAUAGGCGCUUCCAUUGCGAGAACCUUUCAUCCGAAUCACAAACGAAUUGGAAGCAUUUCUUUGAACAGCUGAAAAGCAUUCCACCUCGGAUGAGGAGUCGUUUCCAAAAUAGAAGUCAAGUCAACUGAUUCAAGUUAGUCCAAGCAUUUACUAAUACAAAUAAGGGCAAGAAAGCCUUUGAAACGAGUGAAAAUCUCACUAAAUGGUGAAUUGGUUCAUUUCCAUUGAAGAAUCAUACGCUGGUUGAGAAUAAGCAGCAGGUGUAAGGAGGGAUGGCACUUAGGAAAGGAAAUUGAAGCCAGUUAAUCCAAUAAGAUAAGAAGAGGCAUAUGCAAGACCAGAAGAGGUUGAACAUGAAUCUCUAUAAACUGUAUCGAAAAAAGGGACGUCUAUUAAGGAAAUCGGAUUGAUGCAAAAAUCCACAAUGUUCGGGAGGUUUGGUGAGAGGGGUGGUCUCGGAUAUGGCUCAGAGUACUGCCUCGCUUAGUCCAGCUGAGCUCCAUUAUUGAGACAACCAUAGAGUAAAGGUACAAAAUACAGAGAAAAAGAGUGUAUGCGAGUAAGUGAGAAAGCUUGAGCAUAUUCUUUUCCGUUUACUCACUCAUUUGAGCUCUUCCUGUCGAUCAGUGCGACUCCAACACAUACUGAGAGAGCAGAGCGUCCCUUAUUUGCGUAGUAGCAAGGCUUUCUUUCGUGAGCUAGCCUUGUGUGUUUGCUUCCUCCUUUCCUAUCUGUUUCGGUAAAUGCCUGGCUAUUAAUAAAGCUAGCGUGGUAACGAGACAGUGAGUGAAUCGGUUAACGAGACUGAGGAAGAUGCCUAGCUAGUUUUGAACCAGAGCAGGGAAGUUAUUUAGCUAAAUAGGAAGUUAAGCCCUAGAUUAGCAAAGAGCUCUAUCCGUUCUAUCCAAUAGACUAUGAAGUGAAAAGGCCAGUAGGAAGAAGGUCCAAUUCAAGACAUGCGAAGUAAGUGAAACUCCCGUUCCAAAGUGACCAUAAGGAAGUGGAAAUAAAUAGGAUAACCAGAUUCCUGCCGUUGUUUAUUGGCUGUUAGGUCGGUGAAACUUUCCCUGUAGCUAAAGUCAAGCCAGUAGUUAGAGUUCUAUGUAGACCGGAUGGGACCUAACUCACUAUCUAUGUUCGUACCUCCCAAAAGUUGACCCUCAGUCCGAGUUAGCUCUUAUAGUUCAGGACAGUAUAGGACCCUUAGGGCUUUGGAAGCGAGCAACCAACCCGGCAGAAGUGGAUAGGAAGUUUAUGACAAAGGUAGCUUAGCUAAGUAAGAGUCCGUAAGUCAACUGAUCAGGUGUAGCGAUAGAGCGGUUUAGUUGACUCUUUCUCGAUGCUUUUCAUAGCGUAGUAAAGUACCCGACCCAAGGGAAGAAGUCCACUUCCCAUACUAGGAAUUCCCAGAUGAUUUGGCAAAAAAGAACCCAAUAGUAUGAGAACCUUAAACACUCGGAGUUCUGUCUUUAUUCAACAGUAAUAAAGGUUAUUAGCCUAACGGUGCUUUUUAUUACCUUAUAGCCUUUCGUAAAAGCAAGCACCUAAAAGAUGCAAUUCCUUUCGAAAUAGGGGCUUCCUAUAUCACCUCGAACAAGAAAUCGAUCUCCCUUGAAAAACACUAAGAGUUCCGAAUCGAAAAAGUAAACCGAACUUGAAGGAAGUUCUUAUCCUAGAAAGAGUAACCGAGUGACAAAAAAACCGGGCCAAGGAACUACUGUUGUCCAUGUAAGGGCUCGAGCUAUAGGGGGAGGUAGGGAAGGCAAGCUUAUAGACUGCCUUCAAUCCCUGUGCGGGCAAGCUUAUAUACUUACUUCCAUUCGAGUUCAUUCCUGUUCGCUAGUGAUCUAUCUCUUAUUAUGAUAACAUGAAAUUAUGAUAACAUGAAAUCCUAGGCUAGGUACGAAUACGAAAUAGAGAGACUAGGCUAGGUACGAAUACGAAAUAGAGAGAAAAGAUCCUAGGUAGUAAAUAGAGAGAAAAUCACCAGUAUAGUUAGGGAAGGGAAGAGUCAAUUGGGCCACAAGCAACUACAUUUCCAUCUUCGGCUUCCUUACCUCCAUCUAAUCCUCUUGGAAUUUCAUAUCUAUCUUAUCGAGCAUAUGGUAAAGAAACCCGUAAAGACAUAGCUUGCCUCUCUAACAGGCAAUGAAUAAGCUUACUUGCGCACUGCUGAUUGAUCUCAAUGAUUACACUCACUGCUUUGUUACCGUAGAGCUUACUUUAUACAGUUCCGACGCAUCUUGAUACGACAACACUCGCACCCCUAAGAUACUUGUUUGAAACUAGAGGAUAUCGCUACGGGGGCAUACCAAUAUAUAAAUACGAAAUUCCAUCGUUUGUUUUUUGGAUGACACUUGCGUGAUACUAAACCCUGUAGUGGGACUUAACCGCUGAUUCUAUAUACUCAAUUCAAAACUACAACCAACUUGAAACCAUACUCCACUUCACCAUAAAGAAGGAAGAUGACCCCUGCGUCUAUACCCUUAACCGAGCUCAGCUUCAGAGCCUGAUCCGUAUUCCUCACCUGCUAGUAAAGUUGGAGCUAGGGUAGGAAGUACUGUUUUCAUCGCCAUAGUGCUUACAUGAGUAUUUGUAAGCGGAUAUAUAAAUAGUAGGAUCAAGAUAAGAUAGAGAGUCAGUAGACCUAGCACCGGUCAUAAUUAUUGUAAGAAUUCUUUAAGCUUAUUUCAGGUAAUGGUUUUGAUGCGAGGGCAGCGUCAGCUGCGAUGCCUUGAGUGGAGUCUCCUUAAGUUCUAGGUAUAGUAUCUAUCUAGUCUAGGUGUUGGCGCAGCUGCAAACGAUUCUUCGAGUGAGAAGUAAAGAGUGGAAUCUUUCUUAGUUGGCAACGAGUCUCUUUAUGUUGCGUCCUGUUCCACUUUCAUCGUAUAUUAUAUAGAAUAAGAGGUGCAGCUCAGUUAGCGCAAGGACUAGUUUCAUUGAAGAGUUAGAAAGAACUUCGCAGUCAGCAUAAAGACAAAAAAAGA